GACAGAGGCCUCAAGCGUUUAGGCGGAAUCACUGGGCUUAAAGGGAGCGUAGGCGGGCUGCCAAGUCCGGGGUGAAAUCCUCCAGCUUAACUGGAGAACUGCCUCGGAUACUGGAAGUCUCGAGGAGGGUAGGGGCAAGUGGAACCGUGGGUGGAGCGGUGAAAUGCGUAGAGAUCCGGAAGAACACCGGUGGCGAAGGCGGUUAGCUGGGCAGUUGCUGACACUGAGGCGCGGACAGCGUGGGGAGCAAACAGG
rnacentral:rRNA from 1 species